ACAUGCAAGUCGAGCGGAAACNAUUUCACUUCNCCUNCGGGGAACGUGAACGGCGUCGAGCGGCGGACGGGUGAAUAAUGCCUGGGAAAUUGCCCUGAUGUGGGGGAUAACCAUUGGAAACGAUGGCUAAUACCNCAUAAUAACUUCGGUUCAAAAAGGGGGACCUUCGGGCCUCUCGCGUCAGGAUAUGCCCAGGUGGGAUUAGCUAGUUGGUGAGGUAAGGGUUCACCAAGGCCACGAUCCCUANCUGGUCUGAGAGGAUGAUCACCCACACUGGAACUGANACACGGUCCAGACUCCUCCGGGAGGCAGCAGUGGGGAAUUUUGCAUACUGGGCGCAAGCCUGAUGCAACCAUGCCGNGUGUUUGANNAAGGACUUCUGGUUGUAAAGUACUUUCAUCAGNNAGGAAGGUUCAUNCUUUAAUANCGUAUGGAUUUUACGUUAGCUGCNCAANAAGCACCGNNNNCCUCNUUGCCAGCANCC
rnacentral:rRNA from 1 species